rnacentral:misc_RNA from 1 species
AAGUCGUAACAAGGUCUCCGUUGGUGAACCAGCGGAGGGAUCAUUACAGAGGUUUACCAAACUCCAUAACCCUAUGUGAAUUUACCUUUUGUUGCCUCGGCGAGCCUCUGGGAUUCGUUCUAUGCCCGCCGGUGGCCCUUUAAAAUCUGUUAUUUAGUGGUUAUCUGAGCGUAUAAAACAAAUAAAGUUAAAA